GGACUUUUACAAUCUAAAUUUUUAUAGACUCCUUCUCUAACAAGGAUUCCUACUUGGACUAGGACUCCGACUUGAACUAGGACUCCUACUUGAUAUGGACUCUUUUAAUUCAAACUAUUGACUAAAUCAAAUAGCAAGAAAGAGCUCACACUCGACUUUGGACUCCUUAUGGCGCAUGGACUAGAGUCCAAGUUGGCUAGAAUUCCUCCCACAAUAACAAAAUGAACUAAACUCCAACCAAUCUAGGACUCCUCAAUGCCAUGGACUCAAUUUGAUUUUGGGCGUUGGAUACUUGGGCUCAAAGGAGACUUGACACACCCAACAAAUGGACUAAAUUUAACAUUGAGCACGCCCAAUGUUGAACCUAAACUCCUUAAUUCAAGACUGCUAAUCAACUUGGACUCUUUAAUUGACAUAUGACCAAUAGUCCAAAUUAGUUAGGACUCUUUCACAUGACACAUGGACUUAUUACAAAGACUCCAAAUAAAUUAGGACUCUUUAAUACCAUUAGAACUCAAUGUAAUUAGGCGUUGAAAUACUAGAACCCAAUGUAACUAGGUGUUGAAAAUCUUGGACCUAAUGUGUUCUGGUGCUAAAACUCUUAGAAUUCAAUGUAAUUUGGUGCUCACCCAAGGAAGAGACUCAAUCUCCACGCACGCCCCAGGCUUGGGCUCAUGCUUAUGCAUCAAGAAGAAGAAGGGGGCCAACAUGACUAAAAAGUAAUUGUAAUCAUUGUGGGAUCAACAAAUAUAUCAAGAAGAAAUUUUGGAAACUUUAUCCCAAGUUGCAAUUGAAGGGCAAGAAGUCAAAGAAAAAGGAUCCCAAGAAAAAACGGAAGGAGGUUCUUAACAUGAUCGAAGAUGAGGAGCUACCUAAGCUAGAGUAAGUAGAUUCAAAGUUGAGUUUGAUGACAAGAAAAUUUAAGACAAUGACUAAGGUAGACCUAGAGGCGCGAAAAAAGCUCUUCUACUUGAAGAUCUAGGUAAAGCAUAGUAUCUAUAACAACCUAGGAUCUUACCUAAAAAAGGCUAGCCAAAAGAUAUUUUUUUAGGUUUUUAGGCUUUGUAUAAGUAUCCAAGAUCUACGCAGUGCAAAACAAAUAUAGCACUAAACAUAUGCCUGCAUGGUUCCUUACAUACUUUUAUUUAAGCUCUAGCAUUCUUGUCAAGCUAAAGGUCCAAAUUUGAUUGCAAAUCUAAUCAAUUUUAAUUAUAAACACCAUGAUCAACUUUUAGUUUGCCCGAAAUAUAUCUAUGCUACAAUAUCUCCUAGUCCACAUGAACCAUGGAUUGAGUUUGCUCUAAUACUAUUUUUAACAAUCCAAGACCUCAUGCAAAAAGGCUAACGAGAAAGUGUCAUUUUGGAUUCCUUGGCUCUAUAUAUGUAUCCAAGAUCUACUCAAUGCGUAAUCGAUAUGGAACUAAACACAUUCCUCGCAUAGGUCUUCACACACCCUUGCAACUCCGAGAGGAUCUAAAAUAUCUGAAGUUCCUAAUGCAAAUUGUUGAUCGACAAGAUCUGGCAUUAUGAUGAUGUGUUAAUUUGAAUGUUAAAAUAUAAUGGAGUAAUUCUGUGCGAGUGGCUACUUGAGAGUUGGAGGAGGAGAUGAGGUAUAAGUAUCAUCAAUCAUUUGAGAAUUUUGGUAUGCUAAUUUUGAGGGUAAAAUUUAGUAGGGGGGGAGGUGGGGGGCGGAGGAGGAGGAUAUAAGACCUAGGCCCCCAUCCUAGCUUAUCAUCAAGCUUGUCUAUGAAGGUGGUGCUCUUUUCCCAUAUCUAAGAUCAAUAAUAAGAGACCUCCUUUGUUGCUCGUGCUAUCCUGUGGAUGGCUCCCUGCUCCACCACCUCAGCUCUUGACCCAAAUUGUGCAUUUCCUUCUCCUCCUCCUACUCAUUUGUCUCCUCUCCCAUCUUUCUUCUAUAUUCUCCUCAUCUUCACAGUCUAGCAUCACCAACUCAUGCCAUCAUCGCACUAUUGUUCAAUGGCCUCUAUAGCUUCCAUUUCUCUAUCUCUUCCUCUUUCUCUCUCUCCCUCUCUCCUUCUCUCUCUUCUUGUGUGUGGGUGUGGAGGAAGUAGG
rnacentral:lncRNA from 1 species